rfam:Ovis aries breed Texel chromosome 10, whole genome shotgun sequence.
UCCCUGGUAGUCCAGUGGUUAGGACUCGGCACUAUCACUGCUAGGACCCUGGGUUGGAUCCCUGGUUGGGGAA